AACUCUAAGGAGUCAGUUAUACUUUGGAUUUCAGAUGAGAAACACGUACCACAUUUGUGCUCUGCAGAUAACAUCCAAAUGUCUUCAGACAUUAGUUGGAUUAACCACAGGCUCGACUCAGACAUCAGUUACGAACAUAACUUCGCUCUAAGUAACCGGCAAAUCUUGUAGAAACAUAGAAAUAUAUUACUGAGACAUAUUUAUUAGUUUGCUUUCUGUCAGCACACCAUGUAUAGAUGUUUGACAAGUUUCAACCUUUGGGCUCUCAUCAGACAUUUUACAUGCACCUCAAAUUUUCUGCACUUUCUCUGUAUUGGCCAGUGUUUAGAUAUGGGUGUAUUUUGUGUUUGUUAUUUACAUAUUAGUGCAAUACCUCUUUUUAAUUAAAAUAUUAGAAUAUUAAAAUGUCAAAUACGUGAUUAUAAUGUUUAUUUCUAGUUAAAAUACCUUAACUAUAACAUAUGAAUAUAUAGGACUGUUGCAUUUGUUGCGGUGUAGUUUCUAUGCCAUGGUGCAGUGCAGUGCAGUGCAGAUUUCUUUCAUCUGCUAUUGUUGUCGGUUUUGUAGUGCAGCCGUUUCGGGUGAUCCUAUGAUGGUCAGCUCUGGGCUUUACGAUAUUUAAAAUUUAUUAGAAUGCCUUGAAUAUAACAACGGAUAUUGUCGAAUUUGAUGUCAUAUAUUUUUUUGUGUGUCGUGUUAUAGUGCAAGUUGUCAUCGUAUUUUGUCGUUGUUAGCUCUAUAUUGGAUUUCUCAUGGGUGUGAUAUGAUAUUGUGAGAGUUUUGUUUGUGAAGUUUUAUCCCGUGAAACUGGUGCAGUGAUAGCACCAGUUCCACAUGAUCAUCCUGACAAAACUCACGAAGAUAGACACGCCAACAACUUACACUACAGCAGUGUUUCUCAAACGGAGGGCCGCUGCCUGGUACCGGGCCCUCAUCUUAUAUAAAAAAAAAACAUUUACAGGGGCCGUGGACUGACAAAGGUUGAGAACCACUGCGCUACAGCACUGCACACACCUACACUACAACCAACCCAACAAUCUUAUAUUCGUCAGCUAUAAUUGUGGCAUUUUAACUACUAAGAAACAACAAGCUGAGGUUAAAAGCACAAAUGAUAUAAUUGUCAAAAGUGCUACAUUAGAAACCAUCAAAUUAAUAAGAAAUAUAAUGGCCAUAUAUUUGUCAUUUUGAUAUUCUAAUAUUGUAAUUAAGACGAGAUAUUGCACUAAUAUGUAAAUGACAACACAAAAUACACCCAUAUGUAAACAUUGGCCAAAUUACGUAAAGAGCAGAUAAGUUGAAGGUAUAUGUACAACACCUGAUGAUAACAGAAAGACUGAAAUAUGUUGUGAAAUUUAAUGCAUUUUAUGCCUAUAUAUAAAUUGUGUUGACGGAAGCAAAACAAUAAAUAUAAUACAAAUCAACAUGACGCCAAGAUAUAAUAAUUCUACUGAGGUAAAGUCAUUACUGGCCGUCAUCAGAAGGCAUAGCCAACACUACAAAAAUAUAUUACCAACUUUAAUGGAUCAAGGUAUCUCUUAUGAAGUGUAUCCGGUAUGAUCAUUCACGUAGCCUUGAGGGAUCUUUCGAACCCAAGCUUCUCUAUGUUAAAGAAAGAAACUCAGCUAACUACAAGAAAAGAGUCCCUGAAAACAUACGGAGACAGGGAGUAGCGCCAUCGAUUGGGCCCAACUAAGUAGAUUUUACUUGAAGACGGAGACAGAAUCCAGUCUCCAAAACGUCGUGUUUUGAAAAAUCAACAGGAUGGUAUUUUUAGAUAAAGGGAGGACGAUGGAUAAAGUGCAAAAACAUAAUAUUUGUACUGAUGUACCGUCGUCACAAACUUUUAGAUCUUAGAUACGAACUAAAUUUAACUUCCUUACAGAGAGUGAAAUAUUAAACUACAAUUGGCCACAUGUUCCAGAAUAAUGACAUAUCUUGGAACUGCCCCUAAACUUCACACACGAAAGGGGUAUGAGAAAGUUCUUGCGAUGUCUAUGCAUAAAUAUAAACUUAUCAUAGUCAGCUUAAUUUACAGACCAGGUUAUAUGUAACCUGUCAUAUUUUCAUGAUAGGCUUGUAGAAAUAUUCAUAAGAUUUUAUUUUUGUAUCUGA